rnacentral:lncRNA from 1 species
AGAAAUAAAAGUGAAAAGAGUGCAACCGAGUCCUGGUUUUGGGCAGCCUACAUAUCCCGGGUUAUAGGAAAAUCAGGUCGCAUGUAGUUCAAGGAGAAUGGUGGAAUGAUGAGUUGAGGAGUCGAGUGAGGUUCCGUCGAAGCUCCCGUCUGCAAUCUUGUUUAUUACAUCAAAGAUAUAAAAAGGUUACAUUAAAGAAAAGGAAACUACAAAAUCCUAUCUAUGUCUUCAGAAACUUGAUCUUGUGUCUUGGUUGGUUCUUCAUGCGGACCCUGAUCUGAAUCUUAAUGCUUGUUAGCUGCAGGUAUUGGUUCUUUCCUUUUUCAACUUCUCGGAUUAAGGCGGGACAUGCAAAGCUUGUGACUUCAACCAUAUCUUGAGCAGUCUGCAUCUUUUCUCAGCUUCUGCACUUUAAAUUCACUUCUUUUUGUUCUUUUCUUUAUUCUGGAUUGAGACUCAUUCUUUUGGUCGUCUCAAACCCUGUGCCUCGAUGUAAAACCUGCUCAGACACUAAAACAAACAAACGAACAAAAUUUUUCUGCUCUAGUUUUCACUAGAAAAAUUUCGUGAGUUAUUUGUUUCUAAAAUCUAAACUAUUUCUUUAUUUGAAAGCGAUAAAAUAAGAAUUGUGUAUCUUUGGGAGAAAGAUAUUAGGGAGUGGAGCCCUAUAUCUAUAAAUAACCUCAACUAGGGAGUGAACACCCUAUGUUGGAGAAAGGCGACUAGUGGAUGGAGACCCUAUGUCUAAAAAUCUCAAUUAGAGAUUGGAGCCCUAUGUUGGCAAAAUGCGACUAGGGAAUGGAGGCCCAAUGUCUAAAAUCUCAACUAGGGAUUGAAGCCCUAUGUUGGCAAAAAGCGACUAGGGGAUGGAGACCCUAUGUCUAAAAAUCUACAACUAGGGAUUGGAGCCCUAUGUUGGCAAAAGGUGACUAGGGAAUGGAGGCCCUAUGUCUAAAAUCUCAACUAGGGAUUGGAGCCCUAUGUUGGCAAAAGGAAACUAGGGAAUGGAGGCCCUAUGUCUAAAAAUCUCAACUAGGGAUUGGAGCCCUAUGUUGGCAAAAGGCGACUAGAGAAUGGAGGCCCUAUGUCUAAAAAUCUCAACUAGGGAUUGGAGCCCUAUGUUGGCAAAACACGACUAGGGAAUGAAGGUCCUAUGUCUAAAAUUUCA